GAGAGUUUGAUCCUGGCUCAGGAUGAACGCUAGCUACAGGCUCAACACAUGCAAGUCGAGGGGCAGCAUGGUCUUAGCUUGCUAAGGCCGAUGGCGACCGGCGCACGGGUGAGUAACACGUAUCCAACCUGCCGUCUACUCUUGGACAGCCUUCUGAAAGGAAGAUUAAUACAAGAUGGCAUCAUGAGUCCGCAUGUUCACAUGAUUAAAGGUAUUCCGGUAGACGAUGGGGAUGCGUUCCAUUAGAUAGUAGGCGGGGUAACGGCCCACCUAGUCUUCGAUGGAUAGGGGUUCUGAGAGGAAGGUCCCCCACAUUGGAACUGAGACACGGUCCAAACUCCUACGGGAGGCAGCAGUGAGGAAUAUUGGUCAAUGGGCGAGAGCCUGAACCAGCCAAGUAGCGUGAAGGAUGACUGCCCUAUGGGUUGUAAACUUCUUUUAUAAAGGAAUAAAGUCGGGUAUGGAUACCCGUUUGCAUGUACUUUAUGAAUAAGGAUCGGCUAACUCCGUGCCAGCAGCCGCGGUAAUACGGAGGAUCCGAGCGUUAUCCGGAUUUAUUGGGUUUAAAGGGAGCGUAGAUGGAUGUUUAAGUCAGUUGUGAAAGUUUGCGGCUCAACCGUAAAAUUGCAGUUGAUACUGGAUAUCUUGAGUGCAGUUGAGGCAGGCGGAAUUCGUGGUGUAGCGGUGAAAUGCUUAGAUAUCACGAAGAACUCCGAUUGCGAAGGCAGCCUGCUAAGCUGCAACUGACAUUGAGGCUCGAAAGUGUGGGUAUCAAACAGGAUUAGAUACCCUGGUAGUCCACACGGUAAACGAUGAAUACUCGCUGUUUGCGAUAUACUGCAAGCGGCCAAGCGAAAGCGUUAAGUAUUCCACCUGGGGAGUACGCCGGCAACGGUGAAACUCAAAGGAAUUGACGGGGGCCCGCACAAGCGGAGGAACAUGUGGUUUAAUUCGAUGAUACGCGAGGAACCUUACCCGGGCUUAAAUUGCAGAUGAAUUACGGUGAAAGCCGUAAGCCGCAAGGCAUCUGUGAAGGUGCUGCAUGGUUGUCGUCAGCUCGUGCCGUGAGGUGUCGGCUUAAGUGCCAUAACGAGCGCAACCCUUGUUGUCAGUUACUAACAGGUUCUGCUGAGGACUCUGACAAGACUGCCAUCGUAAGAUGUGAGGAAGGUGGGGAUGACGUCAAAUCAGCACGGCCCUUACGUCCGGGGCUACACACGUGUUACAAUGGGGGGUACAGAGGGCCGCUACCACGCGAGUGGAUGCCAAUCCCAAAAACCUCUCUCAGUUCGGACUGGAGUCUGCAACCCGACUCCACGAAGCUGGAUUCGCUAGUAAUCGCGCAUCAGCCACGGCGCGGUGAAUACGUUCCCGGGCCUUGUACACACCGCCCGUCAAGCCAUGGGAGCCGGGGGUACCUGAAGUGCGUAACCGCGAGGAGCGCCCUAGGGUAAAACUGGUGACUGGGGCUAAGUCGUAACAAGGUAACCG
rnacentral:rRNA from 1 species